CUGAAUGCCGGCAGAGGACAUCAGGCACCCAGAAAAGCAGCCCAACUCUUCGAAAGGAGCAAAAACGAAGGAAGAAAACGUGGGAGAAGACAAAAAGGAGGGGGGAAUCCCAGCCCAGGUGAGGCUCGGUGUGUUGGCUUCACAAAUCAGCAGAAUCUGUUCAUAAGCAGCGUGGACGGCUGCCAGGAAGAGGUCUCAGUAAGCCCCUCUCAUAGGUGGAAUUCGGCUGGAUUCCUGCUUGAAAGGGAUUCUGGAAAAUGUGGUUCCCAGGCUUCCAGCCGCUGAGAUAACAGGGCAUAGCUGAAAGGCGUGCUGCUCAAGGCCAGCAGAUCACAGCUGGCACAGUCCAGGCAUAUGGACACUCAGCACCCAAACUCACGUUCUGCCUGCAUUCAAUUUCCAACUAG